rnacentral:rRNA from 1 species
UACGAAGGGGGCUAGCGUUGUUCGGAUUUACUGGGCGUAAAGCGCACGUAGGCGGAUCGAUCAGUCAGGGUGAAAUCCCAGGGCUCAACCCUGGAACUGCCUUUGAUACUGUCGAUCUGGAGUAUGGAAGAGGUGAGUGGAAUUCCGAGUGUAGAGGUGAAAUUCGUAGAUAUUCGGAGGAACACCAGUGGCGAAGGCGGCUCACUGGUCCAUUACUGACGCUGAGGUGCGAAAGCGUGGGAGCAA